GAAGGAAGUGAGUCCCUAGCGGGGAUCCGUCCUCCCAUCCAGGCGUUUGCCCGCAGGAAGAUGGCGGCGGUCUCAAUGUCAGUGGCGCUGAGACAGGCGUUGUUGGGGAGAAGGGCAGCGGCUUCAGCUGCCGUUUCCGUCUCUAGAGUUCCAUCCAGGUUGUUGAGCACAUCCACAUGGAAGCUGGCACAGGACCAAACUCAAGACACCCAGCUUAUAACAGUUGAUGAAAAAUUGGAUAUCACCACUUUAACUGGUGUUCCAGAAGAGCACACAAAAACCAGAAAGGUCAGGAUCUUUGUUCCUGCUCGCAAUAACAUGCAGUCUGGAGUAAACAACACAAAGAAAUGGAAGUUGGAGUUUGAUACCAGAGAGAGAUGGGAAAAUCCUUUAAUGGGUUGGGCAUCAACAGCUGAUCCCCUCUCCAACAUGGUUUUAACCUUUAGUACCAAAGAAGCCGCAAUUGCCUUUGCAGAAAAAAAUGUACUGGGAUUAAAGGCAUACACCACCAUCGCCCGGCCUCUAUGACUAACUAGUGUGCUGCUGGGAUUAAAGGUGUGUGCCACUACUGCCUGGCCUGUAUGGCUGACUAGUCUGGCUGCUUUGCACUGAUCUUCAGGAUGGAGCUAUGAUGUGGAAGAGAAGAAAGUUCCAAAACCCAAGUCCAAGUCUUACGGUGCAAACUUUUCUUGGAACAAACGAACAAGAGUGUCUACAAAAUAGGUUGGCACUGGCUUCAUUUCUGCUUGACUGUGAAUAAAGUCAGCUGUGCACUAUUUAUAGUCCGUGGAUAAUGCACCUCUUAAUCUCCUAAUAAAUGUGACAUUCAAACCACA